rnacentral:rRNA from 1 species
CCCCGAAAGCUAUUUAGGUAGCGCCUCGUGAAUUCAUCUCCGGGGGUAGAGCACUGUUUCGGCUAGGGGGCCAUCCCGGCUUACCAACCCGAUGCAAACUGCGAAUACCGGAGAAUGUUAUCACGGGAGACACACGGCGGGUGCUAACGUCCGUCGUGAAGAGGGAAACAACCCAGACCGCCAGCUAAGGUCCCAAAGUCAUGGUUAAGUGGGAAACGAUGUGGGAAGGCCCAGACAGCCAGGAUGUUGGCUUAGAAGCAGCCAUCAUUUAAAGAAAGCGUAAUAGCUCACUGGUCGAGUCGGCCUGCGCGGAAGAUGUAACGGGGCUAAACCAUG